rnacentral:rRNA from 1 species
GGCACGCGAGCUGGGUUCAGAACGUCGUGAGACAGUUCGGUCCCUAUCCGUCGCGGGCGUAGGAAAUUUGAGAGGAGCUGUCCUUAGUACGAGAGGACCGGGAUGGACUGACCUAUGGUGUACCAGUUGUUUCGCCAGAAGCAUAGCUGGGUAGCUAAGUCGGGAAGGGAUAAACGCUGAAAGCAUCUAAGUGUGAAGCCCACCUCAAGAUGAGAUUUCCCAUAGCAUAAGCUAGUAAGACCCCUUGAAGACUACAAGGUUGAUAGGUCAGAGGUGUAAGUAUGGUAACAUAUUUAGCUGACUGAUACUAAUAGGUCGAGGGCUUGACCAA